rnacentral:rRNA from 1 species
AACCCUUGUCCCUUAGUUUACCAGGCACGUUAUGGUGGGCACUCUAAGGGGACGUGCCGGUGACAAACCGGAGGAAGGUGGGGAUGACGUCAAGUCAUCAUGGCCCUUACGGCCUGGGCUACACACGUGCUACAAUGGUCGGUACAAAGGGUUGCCAAGCCGCGAGGUGGAGCUAAUCCCAUAAAACCGAUCGUAGUCCGGAUCGCAGUCUGCAACUCGACUGCGUGAAGUCGGAAUCGCUAGUAAUCGUGAAUCAGAAUGUCACGGUGAAUACGUUCCCGGGCCUU